rnacentral:tRNA from 1 species
GGGGUUGUAGCUCAGCUGGUUAGAGCACAGGCCUGUCACGCCUGGGGCCGCGGGUUCAAGUCCCGUCAACCCCG